rnacentral:lncRNA from 1 species
AGCUUUUCAGCAAGCCCAAGUGUAAGGCUUUGAGUCAUCAGAACCCGGAUGUAAACACAGCAGCCCUACAUUCUGCACAGUUUGCGUGUAUUUUAUCUUUUUUUAAUAAUAUUUAGCUGGCAACUUAAAACUGCAAGCAUGCCAGCUAUUUUAGCCAGCCGCUUACAUCAUGUGGCCUCCAUCUUUGGGAGAGUGGUUGCCGGUCCUUGCCUUGUUUCUCAGGUCCCCGCCCCACACUGCAGGCAAUCUGGGUCCUUCUGGAGGCAUCUUGUUGCCACUUAGCAAACCCCGACCCUUAGAGCAUGACAUCAGCUGAGCAACAAAGACAGAGAGGACAGGUUCCUGACAGAGACAAGACAUUGGGUGAGUCAAGGUGAAUCUGAUCUGUCUUUUAUGCUGCAGUUUCAGGUGACUUCGUGUGAGGGUGCACUAGCCUCGGAUAAUCCACCCCACUCCACCGCCCCCCCCCCCCUUCCACAAGCUGCUAUUUGAAACACAGCCUGAUUCAAUGUACAGAAACAAAACAGUGUGUUCAAGAUCUGGUAUAUUUUCAGGUCCAUAAUGCCAACUCUACGGGUGGCCUGUUUAAUGGGGAAAAAAUUAAAUACCCCAGCCAAGACCUAUGGAAACCAAAGAGGGUUAGCGAUUUAUUUACACUGGGGUGGAAGGGGUGAGCAAUAUUUCUUUCUUGCUCACUAUUUCCUGAAGGCUUCCUAGACAUAAACCUUGGUUAAUAUCCCAGAAAGAAGACAUAUUUUUCUCCAUGGUUUUCAAUAUUUUCUGCUAAAUAUAUUCCUGUGAACUGUUUACCCAGAGUCUCAGCUUUCAGACCUUUAUGUACUUGUAA